UAUACGACCGUACCGCAAACCGACACUGGUGCGCGAGAUGAGUAUUCUAAGGCGCUUGAGAGAACUCAGGAGAAGGAACUCGGCAAAUUGACACCGUAACUUCGGAAGAAGGUGUGCCUUAUUAGUGUGAAGUGAACAACGGAGCAUGAAUGGGUUGCAAAAAAUCGGUGGCUGCGACUGUUUAUUAAAAACACAGCACUCUGCAAACACGAAAGUGGACGUAUAGGGUGUGACGCCUGCCCGGUGCUGGAAGAUUAAAUGAUGGGGUGCAAGCUCUUGAUUGAAGUCCCAGUAAACGGCGGCCGUAACAAUAACGGUCCUAAGGUAGCGAGAUUCCUUGUCGGGUAAGUUCCGACCUGCACGAAUGGCGUAACGAUGGCCACACUGUCUCCUCCUGAGACUCAGCGAAGUUGAAAUGUUUGUGAUGAUGCAAUCUCCCCGCGGAAAGACGGAAAGACCCCAUGAACCUUUACUGUAGCUUUGUAUUGGACUUUGAACAGAUCUGUGUAGGAUAGGUGGGAGGCUUUGAAGCAGGGUCGCUAGAUCUUGUGGAGCCAACGUUGAAAUACCACCCUGGUGUGUUUGAGGUUCUAACCUAGGUCCAUUAUCUGGAUCGGGGACAGUGCAUGGUAGGCAGUUUGACUGGGGCGGUCUCCUCCCAAAGCGUAACGGAGGAGUUCGAAGGUACGCUAGUUACGGUCGGACAUCGUGACGAUAGUGCAAUGGCAUAAGCGUGCUUAACUGCGAGACUGACAAGUCGAGCAGAUGCGAAAGCAGGACAUAGUGAUCCGGUGGUUCUGUAUGGAAGGGCCAUCGCUCAACGGAUAAAAGGUACUCUGGGGAUAACAGGCUGAUACCGCCCAAGAGUUCAUAUCGACGGCGGUGUUUGGCACCUCGAUGUCGGCUCAUCUCAUCCUGGGGCUGUAGCCGGUCCCAAGGGUAUGGCUGUUCGCCAUUUAAAGAGGUACGUGAGCUGGGUUUAAAACGUCGUGAGACAGUUUGGUCCCUAUCUUCCGUGGGCGCUGCAGAUUUGAGGAAGCCUGCUCCUAGUACGAGAGGACCGGAGUGGACACACCUCUGGUGUAUCGGUUGUCACGCCAGUGGCAUUGCCGAGUAGCUAAGUGUGGAAGAGAUAACCGCUGAAAGCAUCUAAGCGGGAAACUCGUUUCAAGAUGAGAUCUGCCGGGGCCUUGAGCCCCCUGAAGAGUCGUUCAAGACCAGGACGUUGAUAGGUCAGGUGUGGAAGCG
rnacentral:rRNA from 1 species